GGAGCUUUUGUAAGGGAAACAACUACUGGCUACGUGUCCGUUAGCCCCACCGGACUACAGAAAUACUUCAUAUUCCAAACAAAUGGUGUACCCGGUAAUAUCAUUUUUUCUUCUAGCCGUUCAUUAAUAACGGCUCAUAGGGCUCUUUCAUGUUUAUGGCUGCAAGUGGUGGUACAGCUACGGCAAGUUGCUGAUGCGUAGAAAUGGGAUGAAACAGUUCUGCUGCUGUUUGUUUGGUGAUUGUAUGAUGGAAAGUUCGGCAUCAAGUUGGCAUGUAGUUCGGUGUGUAGUGUAUCCAUGGCAAUCGGUGAGAAGCUGCAAAAUGGUGGAAUGGAUCUGUCGAGAAAGUAGGAGUGUGUCAGACGAAUGUGUGACCGAUUCGAAGACGGGACAGAACUCGUUGGAUGUGGCAGGAUCCGAGAUCGUCCCAAAGUGCGGUGUUGUGCUGGAAUUUCGUGGAAAGGUUAAGGUUGUGCCAUGGUGUGUUCCAGUGUUUAGUGCUCAAGUCCAGUGAAAGUGUGCUGUUUGGUUCGGAACGGAAUCCUUCGUCGGCGGCUCGUUAGAUGGUCGUCGUUGGAAUGGAUCCCAAAGCUGGCUGAUUUUCGAUUAACGAAGCCGUUUGUGAAGAUGUGGUGAUGAUGCUGGUAUUUGGUCCGGAUCAGGUUGCUGAUGCGUAGGAUGAAACGACGACGUCGAC